rnacentral:rRNA from 1 species
CCUACGGGGGGCAGCAGUGAGGAAUAUUGGUCAAUGGGCGCGAGCCUGAACCAGCCAAGUAGCGUGAAGGAUGACUGCCCUACGGGUUGUAAACUUCUUUUAUAGAGGAAUAAGGUGAGGCACGUGUGCCUUUUUGUAUGUACUUUAUGAAUAAGGAUCGGCUAACUCCGUGCCAGCAGCCGCGGUAAUACGGAGGAUGCGAGCGUUAUCCGGAUUUAUUGGGUUUAAAGGGUGUGCAGGCAGAAUGUCGAGUCAGCGGUAAAAUUUAGGGGCUAAACCCGAAAAUUGCAAUGGAUACUGGCAGGCUUGAGUACAGUUGAGGUAGGUGGAAUUCGUGGGGUAGCGGUGAAAUGCUUAGAUAUCACGAAGAACUCCGAUUGCGAAGGCAGCUUACUAAACUGCCACUGACAUUGAUGUUCGAAAGUGUGGGUAUCAAACAGGAUUAGAUACCCGGGUAGUC